UACAGAGGUCUCAAGCGUUGUUCGGAUUCAUUGGGCGUAAAGGGUGCGUAGGCGGCGCGGUAAGUCGGGUGUGAAAUCUUGGAGCUUAACUCCGAAACUGCAUUCGAUACUGCCGUGCUUGAGGACUGGAGAGGAGACUGGAAUUUACGGUGUAGCGGUGAAAUGCGUAGAUAUCGUAAGGAAGACCAGUGGCGAAGGCGGGGCUCUGGACAGUUCCUGACGCUGAGGCACGAAGGCCAGGGGAGCAAGCGGG
rnacentral:rRNA from 1 species